rnacentral:rRNA from 1 species
GAUGAACGCUGGCGGCGUGCUUAAUACAUGCAAGUACGAGCGAACCACUUCGGUGGUGAGCGGCGAACGGGUGAGUAACACGUAGGUGAUCUGCCCAUCAGACGGGACAACGAUUGGAAACGAUCGCUAAUACCGGAUAGGACGAAAGUUUAAAGGUGCUUCUGGCACCGCUGAUGGAUGAGCCUGCGGCGCAUUAGCUAGUUGGUAGGGUAAAGGCCUACCAAGGCGACGAUGCGUAGCCGACCUGAGAGGGUGAACGGCCACACUGGACUGAGACACGGCCCAGACUCCUACGGGAGCAGCAGUAGGGAAUCUUCGGCAAUGGGCGAAAGCCUGACCGAGCAACGCCGCGUGAAUGAUGAAGGCCUUCGGGUUGUAAAGUUACUGUUAUAAGGUAAGAACGACUUUAGUAGG